UACGUAGGGUGCGAGCGUUGUCCGGAAUUAUUGGGCGUAAAGAGCUCGUAGGCGGCCUGUUGCGUCCGCUGUGAAAGCCCGGGGCUUAACCCCGGGUCUGCAGUGGAUACGGGCAGGCUGGAGUUCGGCAGGGGAGACUGGAAUUCCUGGUGUAGCGGUGAAAUGCGCAGAUAUCAGGAGGAACACCGGUGGCGAAGGCGGGUCUCUGGGCCGAUACUGACGCUGAGGAGCGAAAGCGUGGGGAGCGAACAG
rnacentral:rRNA from 1 species